rfam:Marivirga tractuosa DSM 4126, complete genome.
AGCAUCAAUAAGGGGUGCCUUAAAAUAACGGGCUGAGAAUAUACCCUGAACCUGAUCUCGGUAAUGCGAGCGUAGGAAUUUUGAAUUUAAAUCAA